CCCUGGCCCUGAAGCCUAUGAACGUGGAAGGGUCCUUCAUGAACCUUGACUGUGUUGGUAAAAGAGCAGGUUGUCAGAACCACACAAUAGGUAGAGGACUUGGGUUGGCAAAGGGAGCUUGGGAGACUGGUGAGGUGUGAAGACCCUGAUUACCAUGUGAAAGACAUGAAAGUUUUGGUCUUACCAACUAAUCGUAAACAAGAGGAUUAAAACAGUAUUUUUGAAUAAUUGUUUCUACUUUCUUACUUAUUUUUAAGUUUGGAAA